UACGAAGGGGGCUAGCGUUGUUCGGAUUCACUGGGCGUAAAGGGUGCGUAGGUGGUGACGUAAGUCGGAUGUGAAAUCUCGGAGCUCAACUCCGAAACGGCAUUGGAAACUGCGUUGCUAGAGGGUUGGAGGGGGGACUGGAAUGCUUGGUGUAGCAGUGAAAUGCGUAGAUAUCAAGCGGAACACCAGUGGCGAAGGCGAGUCCCUGGACAACACCUGACACUGAGGCACGAAAGCUAGGGGAGCAAACAGG
rnacentral:rRNA from 1 species